rnacentral:rRNA from 1 species
GAGUAAUGUCUGGGAAACUGCCUGAUGGAGGGGGAUAACUACUGGAAACGGUAGCUAAUACCGCAUAACGUCGCAAGACCAAAGAGGGGGACCUUCGGGCCUCUUGCCAUCGGAUGUGCCCAGAUGGGAUUAGCUUGUUGGUGGGGUAACGGCUCACCAAGGCGACGAUCCCUAGCUGGUCUGAGAGGAUGACCAGCCACACUGGAACUGAGACACGGUCCAGACUCCUACGGGAGGCAGCAGUGGGGAAUAUUGCACAAUGGGCGCAAGCCUGAUGCAGCCAUGCCGCGUGUAUGAAGAAGGCCUUCGGGUUGUAAAGUACUUUCAGCGGGGAGGAAGGGAGUAAAGUUAAUACCUUUGCUCAUUGACGUUACCCGCAGAAGAAGCACCGGCUAACUCCGUGCCAGCAGCCGCGGUAAUACGGAGGGUGCAAGCGUUAAUCGGAAUUACUGGGCGUAAAGCGCACGCAGGCGGUUUGUUAAGUCAGAUGUGAAAUCCCCGGGCUCAACCUGGGAACUGCAUCUGAUACUGGCAAGCUUGAGUCUCGUAGAGGGGGGUAGAAUUCCAGGUGU